AUUAUAACUGCAAAAAAUAAUAACAAUUCUUACGCUUUAGCUGCCUAAUAAGCGCUUAACGUAGAUCCUCCCAGGAUCGUCCAUGUUCUGGAUCUGGGUCCUAAAUUUAGUGGACUUACGCUCAAAGCUUCCACCUGGAGUUGCGAGAAGAGACUAAUCAGGUUAGUCAUUGCUGGGUGCCCUGUCAUACGGCGUUUGCAAUGAUGAAAUUUAAAUAGUAUGAAUAUGAGCGUAGAUAUCCGAGGGGCAAUAUGCUUGGACGCGAGUUCGACUCUCGCCAUCUCCAUUA
rnacentral:tmRNA from 1 species